rnacentral:tRNA from 1 species
UACAUUUUAGUGUAUGAUGCACAAAAGUUUUUGAUACUUUAAGAAAUAGUUUAAUUCUGUUGAAUGUAA